CCUACGGGAGGCAGCAGUGGGGAAUAUUGGACAAUGGGCGAAAGCCUGAUCCAGCAAUGCCGCGUGAGUGAUGAAGGCCUUAGGGUUGUAAAGCUCUUUUACCAGGGAUGAUAAUGACAGUACCUGGAGAAUAAGCUCCGGCUAACUCCGUGCCAGCAGCCGCGGUAAUACGGAGGGAGCUAGCGUUGUUCGGAAUUACUGGGCGUAAAGCGUACGUAGGCGGUUAUUCAAGUCAGAGGUGAAAGCCUGGAGCUCAACUCCAGAACUGCCUUUGAAACUAGAUAGCUAGAAUCUUGGAGAGGUGAGUGGAAUUCCGAGUGUAGAGGUGAAAUUCGUAGAUAUUCGGAAGAACACCAGUGGCGAAGGCGACUCACUGGACAAGUAUUGACGCUGAGGUACGAAAGCGUGGGGAGCAAACAGGAUUAGAUACCCUGGUAGUCCACGCCGUAAACGAUGAUAACUAGCUGUUCGGGCUCUACGAGCUUGAGUGGCGCAGCUAACGCAUUAAGUAUCCGCCUGGGGAUACGGUGCAAGNUUAAAACUCAAAGGAAUUGACGGNNGAGAGNGCGAGACGACGACGAGGAGAG
rnacentral:rRNA from 1 species